rnacentral:rRNA from 1 species
GACGAACGCUGGCGGCGUGCUUAACACAUGCAAGUCGAACGGUGAAGCUCCAGCUUGCUGGCGUGGAUCAGUGGCGAACGGGUGAGUAACACGUGAGCAACCUGCCCCAGACUCUGGAAUAAGCGCUGGAAACGGCGUCUAAUACUGGAUACGAGAUCAAGCCGCAUGGUUAUGGUCUGGAAAGUUUUUCGGUUUGGGAUGGGCUCGCGGCCUAUCAGCUUGUUGGGGAGGUAAUGGCUCACCAAGGCGACGACGGGUAGCCGGCCUGAGAGGGCGACCGGCCACACUGGGACUGAGACACGGCCCAGACUCCUACGGGAGGCAGCAGUGGGGAAGAUUGCACAAUGGGCGAAAGCCUGAUGCAGCGACGCCGCGUGAGGGAUGACGGCCUUCGGGUUGUAAACCUCUUUCAGCAGGGAAGAAGCGAAAGUGACGGUACCUGCAGAAGAAGCACCGGCUAACUACGUGC